UGGUUUUCUUUUGCAGGCUCAUCUGGUAUGAGUGGUCUGAACAGGGUCCCAGGGGCCCCCAGGCAUCAGGAAGCCUCCGGGACUGAGGUUGUCCCUCCCAGGCCUUGGAGCUCCCAUUGGCUGCACAGUGGGGCCCAUCUGAGAGCAGAGCAGAUGCUGAGGGCCCACAGGAAGGUGGAGGGGCCAAGGUCCAUGCUUUGGCCAGCUCUUUCCCUGGGCUCCGAGUUCCACAAGCCAACAGAUCAAAUCAUUUCUCCCGUAAGCCACCUGGGCUUGGGUUUUCUGUAUCUGCCUCUGGUAAAGUCACAAAGAAUUAACUUCAGUUCACUCUCUUAUGCCACCCCUGAAUGGUCACCCCCCACUCUAAUCCCUGGCCACCACUGGCCAGUUCUAUCCUCCAAUUUUGUCACUUCAGGAAUGUUAUACAAGUGGGAUCUUGGGUUUGUGCAUUUUGAGGUUGGCUUUCUCCCUCAUCCCAGCGCUCUUAAGAUUUGCCAAGGGUGUUGUUGAUGGUUCCCCUCAUUUUAUUGCUGUGAGCAUCCACCUCUAUUGAUAGAUCCACUGUGACAGGGUAGGCCACAGUGUGCUUGUCCAUUUGGGGGUUGGAGGAUAUCUAGGUUGUUUCCAGGUUGUGGCUAUUACAAAUAAGGCUGCUAUGAACUUUUGUAUGAACAUAAGUUUUCCUUUUUCUAGAGUAAAUCCCAAGGAGCAUGGUGCUGAGUUUCAUGGCUAAGCAUACGUCCAACUUUAUAAGAAACUGCCCAGUUAUUCUCCAUGUUGGCCGUGCCAUCUCCCACUCCCACCCGUAGCCAAUGAGAGUUCCAGUCUCUCCACAUCCUCACCAGCAUGUGGUGUUGCUGCUAUUUUUCGUUUUAGCCAUUCUGAUAGUUGUGAAGUGAUAUCUCACUGUGUUUUUAACCUGCAUUUCCCUCAUGGCUAAUGAUGUUGGUGAAGUGUCUGUUCCAAUCUUCUGCUCAUUUUCUGAUUGGGUUGCUUGUUUUCUUGCAGUUGAAUGUAGAGCAUUCUUUAUGUUUUGGAUACAAGUCCUUUGUUAGGAAGGUGAUUUUCAGAUGUUUUCCCUCAGUCUGUGGCUUGUCAUUUCAUCCUCUUCAUGGGGCCCUUGCAGAGCGGAAGUUUUGACACUGAUGAUCUGGACGACUUCUCCCGGUCAGCAGACCUAAACGUUGAUCUGCGUUAACCCCUGUCCUUCUUCUCCACAUCCAAUCUGUCCCUCCAGACAUUCAGACUCCUCUGCUGAGCUCCUGCCAACACGAGGGACUCGCCUUCAGGAGUGUGCGGCCUGACGAAGCCGACGCGCAAACCUCCAGACCUUCCACGGCUCCAUCUGCACCCGGCUGCACAGCCGCAUCCUUCACUCCAUAGCUCCAGACCUUCCAUGGCUCCCUCUGCACCCGGCUGCACAGCCGCAUCCUUCACUCCACAGCUCCAGACCUUCCAUGGCCCCAUCUGCACCCGGCUGCACAGCCGCAUCCUUCAC
rnacentral:lncRNA from 1 species